CGGGACGGGUGAGUAAUGUCUGGGAAACUGCCUGAUGGAGGGGGAUAACUACUGGAAACGGUAGCUAAUACCGCAUAACGUCGCAAGACCAAAGAGGGGGACCUUCGGGCCUCUUGCCAUCGGAUGUGCCAGAUGGGAUUAGCUAGUAGGUGGGGUAACGGCUCACCUAGGCGACGAUCCCUAGCUGGUCUGAGAGGAUGCCAGCCACACUGGAACUGAGACACGGUCCAG
rnacentral:rRNA from 1 species